rnacentral:rRNA from 1 species
UACGAAGGGGGCUAGCGUUGUUCGGAUUUACUGGGCGUAAAGCGCACGUAGGCGGAUCGUUAAGUCGGGGGUGAAAUCCUGGAGCUCAACUCCAGAACUGCCUUCGAUACUGGCGAUCUUGAGUCCGGAAGAGGUGAGUGGAAUUCCUAGUGUAGAGGUGGAAUUCGUAGAUAUUAGGAAGAACACCAGUGGCGGAGGCGGCUCACUGGUCCGGUACUGACGCUGAGGUGCGAAAGCGUGGGGAGCAAACAGG